AUGGAAGAACAAGGAGAGCUUGAUACGGGUCUGCUGAAGCUCUGCUGGUAUCUAGGAAGGGUUUCUGGAGCUUCUGGUGUUGGUGUGUGGAGCAAAGCCAUGUUACCAUCAAGUGUGCUGCAGCUUUGGGAGCAGCGAAGAGCUCUGCAGGUCUGUAGUGAAGCCAGGUGGAAAGCGACUGCAGACAACUCCCCCUCCUCUCCAACAAAUGAACCCCCACCCGUGCUUCACGUGGUAGGAAAUGUCCUGCUUAUUAGACACUGGAGAAUCCACAGCCAGACUACAUCCUGGGGAAACUUUCUAGAAACCCAGGAGAAGCCAAAGGAGGAAAGAUUUUUUGAUCCAAAAGAAUCAGGGGAGCCUUACCUCUUCCGCACUCUUGGCUGGCAAGCAGGCAGAGCAGAAGAUAAAGUCUGCGUUCCCCAAAGAGAGGUGACCAUCAGGAAAAGUUAUAUUCUCCCACUGUCAUAUUGCCUCAAAAGGACCUUCACCCAGAGGACCAAAAUGGAGGAAAAUCAACACCUUUUCCGGACGUUUUGGCUGCUAUCUCCUGAUCUCUGCUGGCAGGGAAGCGGGAGUGUGUCUGGCAGCACAACCUCCGAGAAGAGGCUGUUAUCUCAGCAUCUUUCCUGCGGGACUGCUCGGCUGGUGUGUCGCCAGGUUGCUGCAGAGCGCAGGAGCCCUGGUCAUGGACGAGGACAGCCUGGUAUAAGACUGUGCAAAUACAGAAGCAAUCAACAGUGCCCAUCUGAGAUGCAGCAAAGUCAUCAAAACUUCCCUUUUUCUCCAUCUCUUCUCCCUGCUAAUUGCUUGGGUCCUGGGUGUCAGGCUGCUGCAUCACCACGAUGGCAUGGAUUGUUUGUUGUGUGGGCUCGUAAGAAUUUAAAUAAAUAAUUAAAUCCUGUGCACACCCCUGAAUUGUGUUAUAUAAAGUACCUUCAUGAUAUUUUAAAGAAGAAACUGCACAGUGGCAUGAAGGUGUCACUCCACACAUCACCCAAACCUGUUCUCUUCCCCCACUCCCAGCAAGGGCAUACUUGUGCAAUUGCUUUCGUUUAAAAGCAUUUAAUGCACAUGAUGGUGGUAAGAACAUGUUCUUCUGGGAGCGAUGAGUGAAAUGCACUCCUGAACAGCUGAACGAUUUAAUCCCAGGGAGUGCCUCAUCUUUAUGUUUAUCUAUUUGGUUGGUUGGUGUGUGUGCGCGUGUUGUUGUUACUCUCUGACGUGGUUUCUGGGUAUCACAGAUUUUGUUUCCGUUUAUUUUUUAACCUCACCACUGUUCCCCAUAAUUCAAUGAAAUCACACACCAGCUCUGGAGGCGUUUUAAAAAAAAAAAUAGGGCAAGGUUUCUCCAAGCACCCAGAUCCUGGCACUGUCUUAGCCCCUUGGCAUGGGCAAACAAUUGCAGGCAACUGAGCAGCUUGAUCAGAUAAUGGCCCCCAGCUGGCAUGCAGCUACUGCCCACCACUGCGUUUUGAGGCUGCUCUAACUGAAAUGCCCUUUCGAGGUGUGGAGUCCAGCUCUCCCAAGCAACCCCAAUGCAGUUUUUGUUGUUUUAACCCCAUGUCCUGAAAGGGAAGGAGUGGUCAGCUUGAAAGGAAGAGAAUGGAAAUUUGGUCUCCCUCUGCGGUUAAUAUAAGUACCUCAAACUGUUCCAAGACUCCCACCUUCAAGGGUGGUGAAUGUAAAACCUCACCCAAUACCUUUGGGAGUGUGAGAGGGGAUCACCCUGGUACUGAUGAGCUUAAAAGCCAAGGGAUAAUUGUCCCCACAAGGUGAAGCUUGGGGAUGCCCACCCUGUGCCUGGGAUGCUGGCAGGAUGGGUGACAACAGUAGGGCAAAGCCCCUCAGGCACAAGUGGAUUUUUUUCUUUUAUCCUUUCAAAGCACUUUUC
rnacentral:lncRNA from 1 species